CCUUCCCCAGGACAAUGCCUGGGAAAGUUGUCUAUGGCCAGAGAGCUGCUGCCACAGCACCAGAGUGCCACCUAAGCCCCAGCAGGACCCCUCACAGAUAUUGUGCUGGUUUUCCCUCUUAUUCAGUGCCUCACGUGAAGGUGGGAGGAAAUUCGGGCUCCUGUGCAUUCAAUGCCUGCAUCUGCUGAGGACACAGCACAGCCCAGGUGCUGAGCAGCUGUCACAGGAUUGAAGAAACCUAAUCUUUUUAGACUGGAACCAUUUUGACUAUCUUUGGCUGCUUUCUCAGGAUGAAGGGUGUCACUCAUCCAUUUGAGCAGCUACGACAGCUCAGAGUCCUCAGGAGAACCUACAAAGGGAUUUCUUGGAGCCUUUCCUCUUAAUAACUCAUUUCUUAAAUGGCAGCACUUUUUUUCCCCUGUGACCUUUAUUAGAAAACAGUGAGGGGGAAACAAAAGGAGUGCUUAGUGUGCUCUGCUCCGUGGAAUUCCCCUGGGUUCUUCUCCCUGGGAUGCUGUGAGAUCCCAGUCAGGCUGCCUGUGUGUGCCCAUAAAGCACCUGUGACAAGGCCUCAUCAGCACUUGUACCAAAGGCCUCUGGAAAGAGGGACUCAGUGAGCUAGGGGUGAUGUAAAAUCCUCUGGGUCUGUCUGGACAAAGGCAGGUUCUAUUUUGUGACUGACUUCCCUGAGAGCUGGUGCUUUUUUUUCUGGGCUUUGCCAAGGAAUGAGAAGACCAGGUGAAGUUCAGUCAAAACAUGGGUGGGAGGAGAAAAAUGUUACAGCCCAAGACUCUGCCUAGCACAGAAAAUACUGGGAUUGAUGACUGUGGACUGUGCUUGCAUGUGAGUUUUCAGUAUCUCCAGAGAAGUGGAUUUUGUUGGGAGCAGUUUAAAAGAGAGAUGGCAGAUGAAAUUUCAUGUGGCUUUCCAGUUCUAUUCAUUUUCCCCCCCUGUUAUAGUUCCAUUUGCCUCAUUUAGUGCUUUUGUUUCUUGCCAGAAUUCUCAGAUCAAUAUUUGCAAAAAGGAUUUUAUGUGGGAUCAGCUAGAAAUAAACUGCACAAUCGUAAGUGUAUAUGCAAAAGUUUAUAACCAUUCUUCUUGGCCAGCUGCAGAACAGAGACACAAAGUCAAUGUCUGCAAAGAGUUUGCAUGAUUAAAUUUCAGAAUUACUUCAGUAUGAUCCCAUAGGAAAGCCUCAUCUCUUGAUUUCCUCUAGGAAAAUCUCGCCCCAAAUUUGAAUUUGGCAACUUUCUUUUUGGAAUGAAGGCACACAAUAUUAAACCCCCUUACUUGUUGCAAACUCUAGUAUAAAUGUAAAAAGUUUAAAUAAUCCAUUUGAAGCUGCUACUUACGAGGUUUUUUUUUCUGGAGCCAAUUUUGUGGCCUUCAGAAAUACCUGGUCUGAAUUUACCUGAAAAGGAAAUUACU